rnacentral:rRNA from 1 species
AGUAACAUCCGGAAACGGGUGCUAAUACCGCAUAGUUUUCUUGAUCGCAUGAUUGAGAAAGGAAAGACGGCCUUCGUGCUGUCGCUUAUGGAUGGACCCGCGGCGUAUUAGUUAGUUGGUGAGGUAACGGCUCACCAAGACGAUGAUACGUAGCCGACCUGAGAGGGUGAUCGGCCACAUUGGGACUGAGACGCGGCCCAAACUCCUACGGGAGGCAGCAGUAGGGAAUCUUCCGCAAUGGACGAAAGUCUGACGGAGCAACGCCGCGUGAGUGAAGAAAAGGGUUUUCGGAUCGUAAAACUCUGUUGUCAGAGAAGAACAAGUUGGAGAGUAACUGCUCCAGCCUUGACGGUAUCUGACCAGAAAGCCACGGCUAACUACGUGCCAGCCGCAGC